rnacentral:rRNA from 1 species
CACGUAGUUAGCCGGGGCUUCCUCCUAUGGUACCGUCAUUAUCGUCCCAUAGGACAGAGCUUUACGACCCGAAGGCCUUCUUCGCUCACGCGGCGUCGCUGCAUCAGGCUUUCGCCCAUUGUGCAAUAUUCCCCACUGCUGCCUCCCGUAGGAGUCUGGGCCGUGUCUCAGUCCCAGUGUGGCCGGUCACCCUCUCAGGCCGGCUACCCAUCGUCGCCUUGGUGAGCCGUUACCUCACCAACUAGCUAAUGGGACGUGAGGCCAUCUCCCACCGCUAAAGCGCUUUAACCUAGGCGUCAUGCGACACCUAAGUGUCAUAGGGUAUUAAUCCCGGUUUCCCGAGGCUAUCCCCUUGUGGGAGGUAGGUUCCUCACGCGUUACUCACCCGUCCGCCGCUAAGUGCUUUAAGUUUCACCCCGAAGGGUUCCACUCAAAGCACUUCGCUCGACUUGCAUGUGUUAGGCACGCCGCCAGCGUUCGUCCUGAGCCAGGAUCAAACUCU